rnacentral:lncRNA from 1 species
UCAUGACAUUCAUUUGUGUAUUCUCGAUCAUGUGAAUUUGGGUAAAAUAAUUAGAGAGGGGGUUGCCAUGGCGUACCGGGACUGCUCAACGCGGCUAAUUGUCAACAAGGCGGUGGGGGAGCGCAUCCAAGUCAAGCGUUCGGUGCGUCAGGGUUGCCCUCUCUCGCCACUGUUGUUUUGUUUAUAUAUAGAGUCGUUUUGUUUGAGUGUCAUAGAGAAUGACUGUGUCCGUGGGUUUAAAUUGCAUGAGGUUGAAGUACGGCUGUUGGCUUAUGCGGACGAUAUUGCCGUGUUUUGCACAGAUUCCGACAGUAUAACACAGGCUGUCAAAUGUGUUAAACGUUUCUGUGCUGUGAGUGGCAGCGCAGUAAACUGGGGCAAGUGCCUGGGAUUCUGGCACGGAGACUGGCCGGAGGCCCCGGACACCUUUGCCAACAUGAGUUUCGUAACGACUCCGGUUAAAUACUUGGGAGCUCCCCUCCAGUGCUACAAAGACAGUGAAUCGUACUGGAGGAGUGAAGUCGAUAACCUGCGGGACAAAGUAAACAAGUGGAAUGGCUGGAAUUGGUCUAUGUUUUCCAGAGCUACAAU